AAAUUUUCAACGAUGGAUAUCUUGGUUCCCAUAACGAUGAAGAACGCAGCGAAAUGCGAUACGCAAUGCGAAUUGCAAAAUUCCGCGAGUCAUCAGAUCUUCGAACGCAAACUGCGCCGGGGGGAUAUCCCCCCAGCAUGCUUGUUUCAGUGUGUUAA
rnacentral:rRNA from 1 species